rnacentral:rRNA from 1 species
UGCAGUCGAGCGGGGUUUUGAAAGAAGCUUGCUUCUUUCAAACCUAGCGGCGGACGGGUGAGUAACACGUAGGCAACCUGCCCCUCAGACUGGGAUAACUACCGGAAACGGUAGCUAAUACCAGAUAAUCGAUUUCUUCGCCUGUUGGAAUCGGGAAAGACGGUUUACGCUGUCACUGAGGGAUGGGCCUGCGGCGCAUUAGCUAGUUGGUGAGGUAACGGCUCACCAAGGCGACGAUGCGUAGCCGACCUGAGAGGGUGAUCGGCCACACUGGGACUGAGACACGGCCCAGACUCCUACGGGAGGCAGCAGUAGGGAAUCUUCCGCAAUGGGCGAAAGCCUGACGGAGCAACGCCGCGUGAGUGAUGAAGGUUUUCGGAUCGUAAAGCUCUGUUGCCAGGGAAGAACGUCCUUAAGAGUAACUGCUUAAGGAGUGACGGUACCUGAGAAGAAAGCCCCGGCUAACUACGUGCCAGCAGCCGCGGUAAUACGUAGGGGGCAAGCGUUGUCCGGAAUUAUUGGGCGUAAAGCGCGCGCAGGCGGCUGUUUAAGUUUGGUGUUUAAUCCCGGGGCUCAACUCCNGGUCGCAUCGAAAACUGGACGGCUUGAGUGCAAAAAAAGAGGGUGGAAUUCCACGUGUAGCGGGUGAAAUGCCUAAAGAUGUGGAAGGAACACCAGUGGGCGAAAGGCGACCUCUCUGGGCUGUAACUGACCCUGAAGCGCGAAAGCCGUGGGGAGACAAAACAGGAUUUAAAUACCCCUGGGUAGUCCCCCCCCCGUAAAACGAUAGAGUGCUAAGGUGUUAAGGGGUUUUCCAAACCCCUUGGGUGCCCAAAAUUUAACACCAUUU